ACCCGCGUCCCAGCUCAGGUAGACCAUGAGGCUUUUAACCUCAGGGUCGUGGGUUGGAGCCCCACAUUGGGCA